GGGUUGUGAGGUUAAGCGACUAAGCGUACACGGUGGAUGCCCUGGCAGUCAGAGGCGAUGAAGGACGUGCUAAUCUGCGAAAAGCGCCGGUAAGGUGAUAUGAACCGUUAUAGCCGGCGAUGUCCGAAUGGGGAAACCCAGUGUGACUCGUCACACUAUCAUUAACUGAAUCCAUAGGUUAAUGAGGCGAACCGGGGGAACUGAAACAUCUAAGUACCCCGAGGAAAAGAAAUCAACCGAGAUUCCCCCAGUAGCGGCGAGCGAACGGGGAGGAGCCCAGAGCCUGAAUCAGCUUGUGUGUUAGUGGAAGCGUCUGGAAAGUCGCGCGAUACAGGGUGACAGCCCCGUACACAAAAGCACACAGGCUGUGAGCUCGAUGAGUAGGGCGGGACACGUGGUAUCCUGUCUGAAUAUGGGGGGACCAUCCUCCAAGGCUAAAUACUCCUGACUGACCGAUAGUGAACCAGUACCGUGAGGGAAAGGCGAAAAGAACCCCGGCGAGGGGAGUGAAAAAGAACCUGAAACCGUGUACGUACAAGCAGUGGGAGCCUCUUAAUGGGGUGACUGCGUACCUUUUGUAUAAUGGGUCAGCGACUUAUAUUCUGUAGCAAGGUUAACCGAAUAGGGGAGCCGAAGGGAAACCGAGUCUUAACUGGGCGUUAAGUUGCAGGGUAUAGACCCGAAACCCGGUGAUCUAGCCAUGGGCAGGUUGAAGGUUGGGUAACACUAACUGGAGGACCGAACCGACUAAUGUUGAAAAAUUAGCGGAUGACCUGUGGCUGGGGGUGAAAGGCCAAUCAAACCGGGAGAUAGCUGGUUCUCCCCGAAAGCUAUUUAGGUAGCGCCUCGUGAAUUCAUCUCCGGGGGUAGAGCACUGUUUCGGCUAGGGGGCCAUCCCGGCUUACCAACCCGAUGCAAACUACGAAUACCGGAGAAUGUUAUCACGGGAGACACACGGCGGGUGCUAACGUCCGUCGUGAAGAGGGAAACAACCCAGACCGCCAGCUAAGGUCCCAAAGUCAUGGUUAAGUGGGAAACGAUGUGGGAAGGCCCAGACAGCCAGGAUGUUGGCUUAGAAGCAGCCAUCAUUUAAAGAAAGCGUAAUAGCUCACUGGUCGAGUCGGCCUGCGCGGAAGAUGUAACGGGGCUAAACCAUGCACCGAAGCUGCGGCAGCGACACUGUGUGUUGUUGGGUAGGGGAGCGUUCUGUAAGCCUGCGAAGGUGGCCUGUGAGGGUUGCUGGAGGUAUCAGAAGUGCGAAUGCUGACAUAAGUAACGAUAAAGCGGGUGAAAAGCCCGCUCGCCGGAAGACCAAGGGUUCCUGUCCAACGUUAAUCGGGGCAGGGUGAGUCGACCCCUAAGGCGAGGCCGAAAGGCGUAGUCGAUGGGAAACAGGUUAAUAUUCCUGUACUUGGUGUUACUGCGAAGGGGGGACGGAGAAGGCUAUGUUAGCCGGGCGACGGUUGUCCCGGUUUAAGCGUGAAGGUGUGUGCUCCAGGCAAAUCCGGAGUGCUUUAACACUGAGGCGUGAUGACGAGGCACUACGGUGCUGAAGUAACAAAUGCCCUGCUUCCAGGAAAAGCCUCUAAGCAUCAGGUAACACGAAAUCGUACCCCAAACCGACACAGGUGGUCAGGUAGAGAAUACCAAGGCGCUUGAGAGAACUCGGGUGAAGGAACUAGGCAAAAUGGUGCCGUAACUUCGGGAGAAGGCACGCUGAUAUGUAGGUGAAGCGACUUGCUCGUGGAGCUGAAAUCAGUCGAAGAUACCAGCUGGCUGCAACUGUUUAUUAAAAACACAGCACUGUGCAAACACGAAAGUGGACGUAUACGGUGUGACGCCUGCCCGGUGCCGGAAGGUUAAUUGAUGGGGUCAUCCGUAAGGAGAAGCUCUUGAUCGAAGCCCCGGUAAACGGCGGCCGUAACUAUAACGGUCCUAAGGUAGCGAAAUUCCUUGUCGGGUAAGUUCCGACCUGCACGAAUGGCGUAAUGAUGGCCAGGCUGUCUCCACCCGAGACUCAGUGAAAUUGAACUCGCUGUGAAGAUGCAGUGUACCCGCGGCAAGACGGAAAGACCCCGUGAACCUUUACUAUAGCUUGACACUGAACACUGGUCCUUGAUGUGUAGGAUAGGUGGGAGGCUUUGAAGCGUGGACGCCAGUCUGCGUGGAGCCAUCCUUGAAAUACCACCCUUUAAUGGCUGGUGUUCUAACGUGGACCCGUAAUCCGGGUUGCGGACAGUGUCUGGUGGGUAGUUUGACUGGGGCGGUCUCCUCCUAAAGCGUAACGGAGGAGCACGAAGGUCAGCUAAUCCUGGUCGGACAUCAGGAGGUUAGUGCAAUGGCAUAAGCUGGCUUGACUGCGAGCGUGACGGCGCGAGCAGGUGCGAAAGCAGGUCAUAGUGAUCCGGUGGUUCUGAAUGGAAGGGCCAUCGCUCAACGGAUAAAAGGUACUCCGGGGAUAACAGGCUGAUACCGCCCAAGAGUUCAUAUCGACGGCGGUGUUUGGCACCUCGAUGUCGGCUCAUCACAUCCUGGGGCUGAAGUAGGUCCCAAGGGUAUGGCUGUUCGCCAUUUAAAGUGGUACGCGAGCUGGGUUUAGAACGUCGUGAGACAGUUCGGUCCCUAUCUGCCGUGGGCGCUGGAGAAUUGAGGGGGGCUGCUCCUAGUACGAGAGGACCGGAGUGGACGCAUCACUGGUGUUCGGGUUGUCAUGCCAAUGGCACUGCCCGGUAGCUAAAUGCGGAAGAGAUAAGUGCUGAAAGCAUCUAAGCACGAAACUUGCCCCGAGAUGAGUUCUCCCUGAGACUUUAAGUCUCCUGAAGGAACGUUGAAGACGACGACGUUGAUAGGCCGGGUGUGUAAGCGCAGCGAUGCGUUGAGCUAACCGGUACUAAUGAACCGUGAGGCUUAACCUUACAACGCCGAAG
rnacentral:rRNA from 1 species